GUCCUAGCCGUAAACGAUGGACACUGAGUGGAGGAGGGCUUGCCUUUCUCUGCUGCAGCUAACGCGUUAAGUGUACCGCCUGGGGAGUACGGCCGCAAGGUUAAAACUCAAAGGAAUUGACGGGGGCUCGCACAAGCGGUGGAGCAUGUGGUUCAAUUCGAUGCAACGCGAAGAACCUUACCCGGGCUUGAAGUGGAUGUGGUAGAAACCGGAAACGGUAACGACCCCGCAAGGGGAGCAUUCAUCAGGUGUUGCAUGGCUGUCGU
rnacentral:rRNA from 1 species